AAGGUCACCCCGCCCCACCAUCUAGCACAUCGAACCAUGAGUGACACGUUUCCAUAUUUGCUUUUGUCCAAAUGUUUUAACAUAAAUGCUAGACAUAAUGCCUCUUGCCACUCACUCACUCUUUUAUCUGCCACUGUUGUCACAACAGACAACACAACGCAAGGUAUCUUUUGCAGUGUUCAUUUAUUCCCAGAGGGUUUGGUGAAGUGAAAGUGUUUGGUUAUUAUAUUCAGGUCAAAAAGCCGAUUUUUCUACCAGUUAAUUUAGUUUGGAGACAGACCUAAGUGAGCAGGAAGCAGAAGAAAGGGUCUCUGGCUUUGCCAAGGGGACAAGGGUGGUCCCAAGAGGGAAGUGGGGCUUGGGGACCACUCAGCAACAGCUUUAUUGAGAUAUAAUUCACAUACUGUGAUUUAAAACUCAUCCUUUUAAAGCAUACAGUUCUAAGGUUUUUAGUAUUUUCAUAACUCAUAUAUAUGUAUUUUUUUCUUUUUACAGCCACACCUGCAGCAUAUGGAAGUUCCCAGGCUAGGGGUCUAAUUGGAGCUGUAGUCGCUGGCCUGCGCCACAGCCACAGCAAUGUGGGAUCCGAGCCGCAUCUUUAACCUACAUUGCAGCUCACAGCAACGCUGGAUGCCACUGAGUGAGGCCAGGGAUCAAACCCACAACCUCAUAGUUCCUAGUCGGAUUCGUUCACCACUGAGUCACUUGACGGGAACUCCCUGACAUGUUUUUGAAGAGAGUAAAUUCAGUACUUUUUCUUAGUUCUCAAAAAUGCACACAUGGUUUUUAUCUGGUACGUCCAGUUAUAAAAAUGCCAUGAAAUGAAGGCAACUUUAUUUCAUAAAGCGGUAGGGAUAGAUUUCUGGAUGAUGCUUGGUUUGAUUUAAGUUUAUUCAGAUUACCAAAAUAUUUUUGUCAGCAUGUUUGCUUUCAUUGAACAUCUUUACUUUGCAUCCUGGCACCAGCAAUAUGUGAUUAUUUAUUAUUGUUCUCCUGGGGGGUAUUAUUUGCUUGCAAAGUUUUAUGAUGAUUGUGACGAGUUAGCCAGAAAUUGAAUAGAACUGGAGUUUCUUUAAGUCUGGAUUUGUUCAAAGACCAGUUUUGAAUUGACUGAGGCUAUAGAUGGAACUGGCGCUUGAGUUAUUUGAGGUCUGGAAUCCCCAGUGGCAAAGAGGAUAUUUUGGUCUGAGUUAGAAAAAUGACAUUUCAUGCUUAUCUACUUCUGGUGGGAGUGUUAAUUGGUACAAACAUUUAGGAAAACAGUUGAGCAUUAUCCAGUAAAGAUGAGUGUGUAUACCCUAUGCUUAGGCAAUUUUCCUUUCAAGCUUCUUCCCUGGGAAAUCUUCUGUUCUGCUGUCUAUCACAGCUUUUCAUAUAUUAAUAACGGUUUACAAAAUAAACCCAAACCACCCAAAUGUUUCUCAAAGUAGAAUGAAUAAGCAAAUUGUAAUAUAAUCAAAUAACAGAAUAGUGUGUACAAAUGGAAAUGAAAUGAUCUCAAACUAGGUAGAACAAUACAGAUAAAUUUCAACAAUCUAAUAUUAAGCAAAAAAAAAGUUAGGUUGUGCUGGAGUUCCCCAGUGGCCUAGUGGUUAAAGGCUCUGACACUGGCAUUGCUGUGGCUUGGGUCACUGCUGUGGCAUGACGUUGAUCCCUGGCCCAGGAACUUCUGCAUGUGGCAGGGGCAGCCAAAAAAAAAAAAAAAAAAAAAAAAA
rnacentral:lncRNA from 1 species